CUCUGGCACUAGGGCGCCGGUCGUUUCCUCCGCAGCUUCCGGCACGGCCUUCAAGCGCGGGACGCGACAAAGUCAUGGACCGCAACCCCUCGCCGCCGCCGCCGGGUCGCGACAAGGAGGAGGAGGAGGAGGUGGCCGGUGGAGACUGCAUAGGGAGCACGGUCUACAGCAAACACUGGCUCUUCGGCGUCCUCAGCGGACUCAUCCAGAUUGUUAGCCCUGAAAACACCAAAUCUAGCUCAGAUGAUGAGGAGCAGCUGACGGAUCUUGAUGAAGAAAUGGAGAAUGAAAUUUGCAGAGUAUGGGAUAUGUCAAUGGAUGAGGACGUGGCUUUAUUUCUCCAAGAAUUUAAUGCUCCUGAUAUAUUCAUGGGAGUACUGGCCAAGUCCAAGUGUCCUCGAUUAAGAGAAAUCUGUGUGGGAAUUUUAGGUAAUAUGGCCUGUUUCCAGGAGAUAUGUGUGUCCAUCAGCAGUGAUAAAAAUCUUGGGCAGGUGUUAUUGCACUGUUUGUAUGAUUCAGACCCACCUACUCUGCUGGAAACAAGCAGGUUGUUGCUUACUUGCCUUUCCCAGGCAGAAGUGGCCAGUGUUUGGGUUGAAAGGAUCCGGGAACAUCCAGCUAUUUAUGAUAGCAUUUGCUUCAUUAUGUCAAGUUCAACAAAUGUUGACUUGCUGGUGAAGGUGGGGGAGGUUGUGGACAAGCUCUUUGAUUUGGAUGAGAAACUAAUGUUAGAAUGGGUCAGAAAUGGGGCUGCUCAGCCUCUGGACCAACCCCAGGAAGAGUCUGAAGAGCAGCCAGUGUUUCGGCUUGUGCCCUGUAUACUUGAAGCUGCCAAACAAGUACGUUCUGAAAAUCCAGAAUGGCUUGAUGUUUACAUGCAUAUUUUACAACUGCUUACUACAGUGGAUGAUGGAAUUCAAGCAAUUGUACAUUGUCCUGACACUGGAAAAGACAUUUGGAAUUUACUUUUUGACCUGGUCUGCCAUGAAUUCUGCCAGUCUGAUGAUCCACCCAUCAUUCUUCAAGAACAGAAAACAGUGCUAGCCUCUGUUUUUUCAGUGUUGUCUGCCAUCUAUGCCUCACAGACUGAGCAAGAGUAUCUAAAGAUAGAAAAAGUAGAUCUUCCUCUAAUUGACAGCCUCAUUCGGGUCUUACAAAAUAUGGAACAGUGUCAGAAAAAACCAGAGAACUCGGCAGAGUCUAACACAGAAGAAACUAAAAAGACUGAUUUAACCCAAGAUGAUUUCCACUUGAAAAUCUUAAAGGAUAUUUUAUGUGAAUUUCUUUCUAAUAUUUUUCAGGCAUUAACAAAGGAGACGGUGGCUCAGGGAGUAAAGGAAGGCCAGUUGAGCAAACAGAAGUGUUCCUCUGCAUUUCAAAACCUUCUUCCUUUCUAUAGCCCUGUGGUGGAAGAUUUUAUUAAAAUCCUGCGUGAAGUUGAUAAGGCGCUUGCUGAUGACUUGGAAAAAAACUUCCCAAGUUUGAAGGAACCUUAUGCAAAAAGUCCAGAUGUAAUGAGGUGGCUCCUUUCACCCUUCACGUGGUCUGCCAGCCAUGGAUUAAGAUGGCAGAGCCACAAGAUGGAAAUUACCUGAAUCUCUGAGUAACCACACAGAGAACCACAUGGAGAGGAGCUGCCCUGGAGAGUCCCCCAAUGCAGGGUCUUGCUCUGUCACCCAGGCUGAAGAGCAAUGGCACGAUCAUGGCUCACUGCAGCCUCAGCCUCCUGGACCCAAGAAAUCCUCCUGCCUCAGCCUCCCAAGGAGCU